UGGGGAAUAUUGCGCAAUGGGGGAAACCCUGACGCAGCGACGCCGCGUGUGGGAUGAAGGUCUUCGGAUUGUAAACCACUGUCGCGAGGGACGAAGCUCUGACGGUACCUCGAAAGGAAGCACCGGCUAACUCUGUGCCAGCAGCCGCGGUAAUACAGAGGGUGCGAGCGUUGUCCGGAAUCACUGGGCGUAAAGGGCGCGUAGGCGGCCCGGUAAGUAGGGGGUGAAAUCUCAUGGCUCAACUGUGAGGCUGCCUUCUAGACUGCCAGGCUUGAGCACAGUAGAGGCGAGUGGAAUUCCCGGUGUAGCGGUGGAAUGCGUAGAGAUCGGGAAGAACAUCGGUGGCGAAGGCGGCUCGCUGGGCUGUUGCUGACGCUGAGGCGCGAAAGCGUGGGGAGCAAACAGGAUUAGAUACCCCGGUAGUCCCUGAGCGGGCUGGCAAGGCGCAU
rnacentral:rRNA from 1 species